CUGGGCGGGAAUUGCUUUUAACACCAUGGCAAAGUUCGAAACUGGGCAAGCAUCGGGGUUGCUUUGCCACCCUGGUUGGCCGAAGUGGCCGAAACGGGGUGAGGUAAAUAUAUUCGGGAAACGGUAUUCCAAAUAAAUGGGGGGGAUAAACUAGCCCGAAAAGGGUUAGGCUAAAUACCCGCCAUAUCGCCCCUGAAGGGGGGAAAAGGCUGGGGGAUUCGUAAAGAACCUAGGCGCUUGACUGGAGGCGGGCCCGAUGAUUCUGAUUUAGGCUAGGUUGGGUGGCGGUAAAGAGGCCUAACCAAGGGCGACGUAUCCAGUAGGCUGGUACUGAAAGGGAGCGAACCAGCGCACAUCUGGAAGCUGAGAGCAGCGGUACCAGUACUCUCUAGCGGGAAGGCAAGCAGUGGCGGAAUUCUUGGAGCAAUGGGGGGCCAAUCCCUGGAUCACAGGCCAUUUCCGGCGUGAAGUGAAGGAAGGCCCUUCCGGGUCUGUAAAGGCUGCUUUCAGCAACGGGAAGGAAAAUCUCGAUCCUCUAAUACUAGGUUGAGUGCUGACGGUACCCCUUGAUAAGAAGCACCGGCUAACUACGUGCCAGCAGCCGCGGUAAUACGUAGGGUGCGAGCGUUAAUCGGAAUUACUGGGCGUAAAGCGUGCGCAGGCGGUUUUGAAAGUCAGAUGUGAAAUCCCCGGGCUCAACCUGGGAACUGCGUUUGAAACUCCAAAGCUAGAGUAUGGGAGAGGGAGGUAGAAUUCCACGUGUAGCAGUGAAAUGCGUAGAGAUGUGGAGGAAUACCAAUGGCGAAGGCAGCCUCCUGGCCUAAUAC
rnacentral:rRNA from 1 species